rnacentral:rRNA from 1 species
UACGUAGGGGGCAAGCGUUGUCCGGAAUCAUUGGGCGUAAAGAGCGUGUAGGCGGCUCGAUAAGUCCGCUCUGAAAGCCCGGGGCUCAACCCCGGGAGGCGGGCGGAUACUGUCGAGCUAGAGUCCGGAAGAGGCGAGUGGAAUUCCUGGUGUAGCGGUGAAAUGCGCAGAUAUCAGGAGGAACACCAAUGGCGAAGGCAGCUCGCUGGGACGGUACUGACGCUGAGACGCGAAAGCGUGGGGGAGCAAACAGG